rnacentral:rRNA from 1 species
GAUGAACGCUGGCGGCGUGCCUAACACAUGCAAGUCGAGCGAACGGACGAGAAGCGCGCUUGCUUGCUGUUGGCGGCGGACGGGUGAGUAACACGUGGAUAACCUACUUAUAAGACUGGGGUAACGUCGGGAAACCGGAUCCAAUACUGGAUCAUAUGUUGAACGGGAUGGUUCAAAAGUGCUAGAGGGUUUUGCUGUUACUAAUAGAUGGUUCCGGGCUGGAUUAGCUAGUUGGUAAGGUAACGGCUUACCAAGGCAACGAUGCGUAGCUGACCUGAGAGGAUGAUCAGCCACACUGGAACUGAGACACGGUCCAGACUCCUACGGGAGGCAGCAGUAGGGAAUCUUGGACAAUGGGCGAAAGCCUGACCGAGCAACGCCGCGUGAGUGAUGAAGGUCUUCGGAUCGUAAAGCUCUGUUAUUAGGGAAGAACAGCAGUAUAUGAAACUCUGGCUGUCUUGACGGUACCUAGUCAAAAAGCCCCGGCUAACUUCGUG